AUUGAACGCUGGCGGCAUGCCUUACACAUGCAAGUCGAACGGUAACAGGUCUUUGGAUGCUGACGAGUGGCGAACGGGUGAGUAAUACAUCGGAACGUGCCUAGUAGUGGGGGAUAACUACUCGAAAGAGUGGCUAAUACCGCAUGAGAUCUACGGAUGAACGCAGGGGAUCGCAAGACCUUGUGCUACUAGAGCGGCCGAUGGCAGAUUAGGUAGUUGGUGGGAUAAAAGCUUACCAAGCCGACGAUCUGUAGCUGGUCUGAGAGGACGAUCAGCCACACUGGGACUGAGACACGGCCCAGACUCCUACGGGAGGCAGCAGUGGGGAAUUUUGGACAAUGGGCGCAAGCCUGAUCCAGCAAUGCCGCGUGCAGGAUGAAGGCCUUCGGGUUGUAAACUGCUUCUGUACGGAACGAAAAGCCCUGGGUUAAUACCCUGGGGUCAUGACGGUACCGUAAGAAUAAGCACCGGCUAACUACGUGCCAGCCGCCGCAGUAA
rnacentral:rRNA from 1 species